UGUCAGACCAAAGGCCACCACCG
rnacentral:piRNA from 1 species